GACGAACGCUUGCGGCGUGCCUAAGAAAUGCAAGUCGAGCGAGGUUUAGGCUUCGGCCGACGACCUAGCGGCGAACGGUCGCGUAACACGUAAGCAACCUGCCCUAAAGUUGGGGAUAGCCCGCCGAAAGGCGGAUUAAUACCGAAUGUGGAUAUGAUUUCGCAUGUGAUUAUAUCUGAAGCAGCGAUGCGCUUUAGGAUGGGCUUGCGGCCUAUCAGUUAGUUGGUGUGGGUAACGGCCUACCAAGACGACGACGGGUAGCUGGUCUGAGAGGAUGGUCAGCCGGAUUGGGGACUGAGACACGGCCCAGACUCCUACGGGGGGCAGCAAUUAGGAAUCUUGCGCAAUGGGCGAAAGCCUGACGCAGCGACGCCGCGUGACUGAUGAAGUCUUUCGAGAUGUAAAGGUCUUUUGUUGGGGACGAAGGAAGUGACGGUACCCGACGAAUAAGCCCCGGCUAACUACGUGCCAGCAGCCGCGGUAAUGUGUGUGUA
rnacentral:rRNA from 1 species